rnacentral:rRNA from 1 species
GACGAACCGUGCGAACGUUAUUCGGAAUCACUGGGCUUAAAGCGCGUGUAGGCGGGCCGGCACGUCGGUCGCUGAAAUCCCCCGGCUCAACCGGGGAAUGGGCGCCGAUACGACCGGCCUGGAGGGGCGUAGGGGGACCUGGAACUUCCGGUGGAGCGGUGAAAUGCGUUGAGAUCGGAAGGAACGCCCGUGGCGAAAGCGAGGUCCUGGACGACAUCUGACGCUGAGACGCGAAAGCCAGGGGAGCGAACGGG